GACGAACGCUGGCGGCGUGCUUAACACAUGCAAGUCGAACGAGUGGCGAACGGGUGAGUAAUGUCUGGGAAACUGCCCGAUGGAGGGGGAUAACUACUGGAAACGGUGGCUACUACCGCAUACUAUCGGAUGAACCCAUAUGGGAUUUGCUAGUAGGUGGGGUAAAGGCUCACCUAGGCGACGAUCUCUAGCUGGUCUGAGAGGAUGAUCAGCCACACUGUGACUGAGACACGGCCCAGACUCCUACGGGAGGCAGCAGUGGGGAAUAUUGCACAAUGGGCGCAAGCCUGAUGCAGCCAUGCCGCGUGUAUGAAGAAGGCCUUAGGGUUGUAAAGUACUUUCAGCGAGGAGGCGUUACUCGCAGAAGAAGCACCGGCUAACUACGUGCCAGCAGCCGCGGUAAUAC
rnacentral:rRNA from 1 species